rnacentral:rRNA from 1 species
AACCCGACUCCAUGAAGCUGGAUUCGCUAGUAAUCGCGCAUCAGCCACGGCGCGGUGAAUACGUUCCCGGGCCUUGUACACACCGCCCCGUCAAGCCAUGGAAGCCGGGAGUGCCUGAAGUACGCGACCGCAAGGAGCGUCCUAAGGUAAAACCGGUGACUGGGGCUAAGUCGUAACAAGGUAUC